AGAGGAGGAGGUUUCCCUGAUUCUGGGAGGACGGAGGGGGAGGACUAGCAGUUCAUCAGCAACUGCUCAUUUCCAGCCAAGCGCUCCUCGGGGACCCAGCACGGGUGGCUGGAUACGCUGCGCCCCCCGCCCCUCCAUUGCUCCCAAGGGAAAAUUAAUUUCUUGCUCUUUUCUCCAGGCCCCUCAGCAACUGGCGCCGCGCGACCUCCCAGCACGGGGCAGGGCACUAGUUUCUAGAAGGAUUUGCGGUUUAUCCUGCAGGCCACCUCCUUUCAAGACGGGCUUCUCUUAAGGAGCAGGGGAGAGAGGUGGGCCAGACAUAUGUGGUUGUGCUGAAUACCCCCAGCGGCCCCCAAACCUGUCCCAGUGGAACAUCUGGACUCAGACUUGAAGGAGUUUGCAUCUUCAAAGAAGACAAGAUCAGUCAAGAUCGUACCUCCUUUUUCUAUUCCUUCCUCGGGACGUGAGAAAGUGGGAGAAGCAGCUCGUUGAUCUCGGGUGGGAUGUUAGACUCCGAAGUCCUGUUUGUAUAAUUCAAAACCCACCACGAGAGCCCCUUUUCUCUGGACUUCCGCCAAAGAACACUCACGAAUCGUGUCCAAACCAAAGGAUCAAGAGAAAACGGGACCCCUGAACGUGGACAAGUCGUUUCCUCAAGCCUCCUGACAUCGAGUUUGUUGAGGCCUUCAGUGGUUGUCUGCACUUUCCCCCACCUCUCACCCAUGUUGUGUUUCAGACUCCAAAAGAGCCGGGCUGGGUAAUGUAGCCCAUUCACGUCUGGUGGUUGGCAGACCCACUAACUGUCUCUUGAGCUCCAUUCCCCCCACCUUCCACGGUAAAACAAUUUGAGCCAGGCCAAGGCCAGCAUUUCCCAUCAUCCCUUGCAGUCGGGUAUGGCCAAGGCCUCACCAGGGGAACAUGAGCGCAAGUCAUGUACGUAGCUCCCAGGUUGCCGGCUGAAAGGGGAUCCCCUUGUCCUGAGCUUUCUCUCUUUCCGUAUUCAGUGUGGAAUGGUAAUGACCAGCUUCCACCGUGCCCGUGAGGACAGCACCCUGGGUGAUGACAGAAGCACAAGACGGAAAGAAGCUGGGGCUUGGAUGAUCUCAAAGGAGCAGAACCAUCUACUUGGCCCCAGGACGUCUGCUCGGCUAUUAGGUGAAAAAGAAAUUUCUAUCCGGCCUGAGCCAUUAUGUUUUGGCUCUCUUUGCUACGGCUGCUUAAGCUGUAUGCUCACUAUUACAGCAAAUAGUGGCCAUAACUAUUCUCUUUACUCUCUUAAUAUCGCCUAAAGCAUACUGCUCUUUGGAGGACCUAGGUUGGAAGUGAAUAUCUUGACUUCUGGCCCUGCUUCAUGUUCCCAUGCCGAUGUUUGUGGACACUGACCUUUUGUUCCAAUGCCCGUGUGCCCUAUGAUCACUGACCAUAUCUUUCUGAAUCAAAUACUGAGAUACAGAUGUGUCUGCAGAAACGAUGAGGGUGACACAGUUCUGAGCCAGGCAUCUGCCGUCCUCCAAGUGCCCAUCUGAAUCGUCAGGCUACCUCAGGGUGGCACUCGGGCCGUCUCAUCUCUCUGACCCUCAGUGGACUCUGCUGUAACCGGUAGAUGAGGGUAGUGCCUACCACGAGGAGUCACGGCAAGGAUUCAGUCAAAACUGUAGACUGAGGCGCGUCCGGGUGGCUGAGUCAGCUGAGCGUCCGACUUGGGCUCGGGUCACGAUCUCGUGGCUCACGAAUGCGGGAGCCGGAGCCCUGCCUUAGGCUCCCUGCUGUCAGCGUGGAGCCCACUCCGGAUCCUCUCUCUGUCCCUCGCUCUCUGCCCCUCCCCCACUAGCGUCUGCACACACACACACACACACACACACUCUCUC